rfam:Oryza rufipogon genomic scaffold, chr03
AAUAAGUGCAGUUUUAGCACUGUUUAUGUCUGUUUGACCAUUCAUCUUAUUUAAAAAAAAUGUAUAAUUAGUAUUUUUAUUGUUAUUACAUGAUAAAACAUGGGUAGUACUUUAUGUGUGACUAUUUUUUUUAAUUUUUUCAUAAAUUUUUCAAAUAAGACGAACGGUCAAAACGCUAAACACGGAUAUCUAUGGCUGCACUUAUU